UACGUAGGUGGCAAGCGUUGUCCGGAUUUACUGGGCGUAAAGGAUGCGUAGGCGGACAUUUAAGUCAGAUGUGAAAUACCCGAGCUUAACUUGGGUGCUGCAUUUGAAACUGGGUGUCUAGAGUGCAGGAGAGGUAAGUGGAAUUCCUAGUGUAGCGGUGAAAUGCGCAGAGAUUAGGAAGAACACCAGUGGCGAAGGCGACUUACUGGACUGUAACUGACGCUGAGGCAUGAAAGCGUGGGGAGCAAACAGG
rnacentral:rRNA from 1 species